rnacentral:rRNA from 1 species
UACGUAGGGACCAAGCGUUGUUCGGAUUUACUGGGCGUAAAGGGCGCGUAGGCGGCUUAACAAGUCACUUGUGAAAUCUCUGGGCUUAACUCGGAACGGCCAAGUGAAACUGUUAUGCUAGAGUGCAGAAGGGGCAAUCGGAAUUCUUGGUGUAGCGGUGAAAUGCGUAGAUAUCAAGAGGAACACCUGAGGUGAAGACGGGUUGCUGGGCUGACACUGACGCUGAGGCGCGAAAGCCAGGGGAGCAAACGGG